rnacentral:rRNA from 1 species
UAGUUGUCUUUACGAUUGUCCGUGUACUUUGGUGUCUGCUGGUUAGCAUCAAUUUUGAUUGUCAUAAAAAGGUUAAGGGGAUGUGGCUCCCUUUCGGGGGAGUGUUAUAACCCUUGGCGGAAUGUGACGAUUGGGAUUGAGGUUUGCAACGAAUACCUUUAGGGCAGUUCCUUCUGGUCUCUUGUUGACAUUCAGAUGGCGACAGCUUGCUUUUGUUGUUUGAAUAGUUUGCGAAUAGAUUGGAAUGUGAAUUAAUUCGUUAAGGAUGUUGACGUAA